GGUGUAGCUCAGUUUGUGUAGAGCGCCUGAUUUGGGUUCAGGAGGUCGCAGGUUCAAUUCCUGCUAC
rnacentral:tRNA from 1 species